GAUGAACGCUGGCGGCGUGCCUAAUACAUGCAAGUCGAGCGAACAGAUAAGGAGCUUGCUCCUUUGACGUUAGCGGCGGACGGGUGAGUAACACGUGGAUAACCUACCUAUAAGACUGGGAUAAAUUCGGGAAACCGGAGCUAAUACCGGAUAACAUAUUGAACCGCAUGGUUCAAUAGUGAAAGGCGGCUUUGCUGUCACUUAUAGAUGGAUCCGCGCCGUAUUAGCUAGUUGGUAAGGUAACGGCUUACCAAGGCAACGAUACGUAGCCGACCUGAGAGGGUGAUCGGCCACACUGGAACUGAGACACGGUCCAGACUCCUACGGGAGGCAGCAGUAGGGAAUCUUCCGCAAUGGGCGAAAGCCUGACGGAGCAACGCCGCGUGAGUGAUGAAGGUCUUCGGAUCGUAAAACUCUGUUAUCAGGGAAGAACAAAUGUGUAAGUAACUGUGCACAUCUUGACGGUACCUGAUCAGAAAGCCACGGCUAACUACGUG
rnacentral:rRNA from 1 species